GAUGAACGCUAGCGGCAGGCCUAAUACAUGCAAGUCGAACGGUAAAUGUAGUAGCAAUACUAUAUGAGAGUGACGUACGGGUGCGUAACACGUAUGCAACCUACCCAAAACAGGAGUAUAGCUCGGGGAAACUCGAAUUAACACUUCAUAGUAUCAUUUGGUGGCAUCAUUAGAUGAUUAAAACUACGGUGGUUUUGGAUGGGCAUGCGUCUGAUUAGUUAGUUGGCGGGGUAAUGGCCCACCAAGGCGAUGAUCAGUAGGGGAACUGAGAGGUUGAUCCCCCACACUGGCACUGAGAUACGGGCCAGACUCCUACGGGAGGCAGCAGUAGGGAAUAUUGGUCAAUGGAUGCAAGUCUGAACCAGCCAUGCCGCGUGCAGGAAGAAGGCCUUCUGGGUUGUAAACUGCUUUUGCCAGGGGAUAAAAUGGCCAUGCGUGGCUAAUUGAAGGUACCUGGUGAAUAAGCCACGGCUAACUACGUGCCAGCAGCCGCCGUAA
rnacentral:rRNA from 1 species